rnacentral:rRNA from 1 species
GUUUUUUGAGAAUAAUUUAAAGUCAAAUCUGCCCACUGAAUUUAUUUAAAGGGCUGCAGUAUAUUGACUGUACAAAGGUAGCAUAAUCAUUAGUCUUUUAAUUGAAGACUUGUAUGAAUGAUUUGAUGAGAUAUAAACUGUCUCUUUAUUAAAAAUAGAAUUUAAUUUUUUAGUUAAAAAGCUAAAAUAAUUAUAAAAGACGAGAAGACCCUAUAGAGUUUUAUAUUUUUAUAAAUUUAAAUUUAUAUAUUUAAAAUUUAAAUUUAUAAAAAUAUUUUAUUGGGGUGAUAGAAAAAUUUACAAAACUUUUUUUAAAAUUUAAACAUUUAUAUAUGAAUAUAUGAUCCAUAAUUUAUGAUUAUAAGAAUAAAUUACCUUAGGGAUAACAGCGUAAUUUUUUUUUUUAGUUCGUAUAAAAAUUAAAGUUUGCGACCUCGAUGUUGGAUUAAGAUAAAAUUUAAAUGCAAAAGUUUAAAAUUUUGAUCUGUUCGAUCAUUAAAAUCUUACA